rnacentral:misc_RNA from 1 species
AAGACUAUAGACCUGCGGAGUACCUGCGGAGGGAUCAUUACAGAGUUACUACUCCAAACCCAUUGUGAACCUUACCUAUGUUCUGUUGCCUCGGCGGCGUGGUCAGCGCCCCUCUGAAAAGAGGACGAUGCCCUCCCGCCGGCAGCACCAAACUCUUUGAAUUUUACAGCGGAUUACAGUUCUGAUUUGAAAACAAAAAACAAGUUAAAACUUUCAACAACGGAUCUCUAGAUCGGAAGA